rnacentral:rRNA from 1 species
UCUUGCGCAAUGGGCGAAAGCCUGACGCAGCAACGCCGCGUGUGUGAUGAAGGUCUUCGGAUCGUAAAGCACUGUCGCGAGGGACGAAUAAGGGGCGGGCUAACAUCCCGUUCCGAUGACGGUACCUCGAGAGGAAGCACCGGCUAACUCUGUGCCAGCAGCCGCGGUAAUACAGAGGGUGCAAGCGUUGUUCGGAAUUAUUGGGCGUAAAGCGCGUGUAGGCGGCUUAGCGUGUCGGGUGUGAAAGCCCUCGGCUUAACCGAGGAAGUGCGCCCGAAACUACUAGGCUUGAGUACCGGAGAGGGUGGCGGAAUUCCCGGUGUAGAGGUGAAAUUCGUAGAUAUCGGGAGGAACACCAGCGGCGAAGGCGGCCACCUGGACGGAUACUGACGCUGAGACGCGAAAGCGUGGGGAGCAAACAG